rnacentral:rRNA from 1 species
UACGGGGGGGGCAAGCGUUGUUCGGAAUUACUGGGCGUAAAGGGCUCGUAGGCGGCCAACUAAGUCAGACGUGAAAUCCCUCGGCUUAACCGGGGGAACUGCGUCUGAUACUGGAUGGCUUGAAUCCGGGAGAGGGAUGCGGAAUUCCAGGUGUAGCGGUGAAAUGCGUAGAUAUCUGGAGGAACACCGGUGGCGAAGGCGACAUCCUGGACCGGUAUUGACGCUGAGUGAGCGAAAGCCAGGGGAGCAAACGGG